rnacentral:rRNA from 1 species
GAUGAACGCUGGCGGCGUGCCUAAUACAUGCAAGUCGAGCGAACAGACGAGGAGCUUGCUCCUCUGACGUUAGCGGCGGACGGGUGAGUAACACGUGGAUAACCUACCUAUAAGACUGGGAUAACUUCGGGAAACCGGAGCUAAUACCGGAUAAUAUAUUGAACCGCAUGGUUCAAUAGUGAAAGACGGUUUUGCUGUCACUUAUAGAUGGAUCCGCGCCGCAUUAGCUAGUUGGUAAGGUAACGGCUUACCAAGGCAACGAUGCGUAGCCGACCUGAGAGGGUGAUCGGCCACACUGGAACUGAGACACGGUCCAGACUCCUACGGGAGGCAGCAGUAGGGAAUCUUCUGCAAUGGGCGAAAGCCUGACGGAGCAACGCCGCGUGAAUGAUGAAGGUCUUCGGAUCGUAAAACUCUGUUAUUAGGGAAGAACAAAUGUGUAAGUAACUAUGCACGUCUUGACGGUACCUAAUCAGAAAGCCACGGCUAACUACGUG